rnacentral:misc_RNA from 1 species
AUUUCAACUCGUUUAUAAAAUUCAUAAAAUAUUGUAUAGAAAACUAUAUUCAAAACAUGAAAAAGAGUACACAGUUAGAAAAUGACAGUUUCGUAUCUCAUGAAAAAGAAAAAGAAAGAACAGCAACUACAGUGUUAGCUGUUUCCAUUGCAUCUUUGUUAUCUAUCUCUUGUGGUUUUGUUUUACAUUUUCCGAAUCCAUUAAAGCUUGCUAACGAGCAGUGGUACACCGCAGGUCAUAUUUCACUUGUAAUUGGGGCAUCUAUUGGUAGUGUAUUUGCUGGAAUUUUUAUUGACAAGCUUGGUAGAAGAUCAACUAUUCUUAUGACCUCAAUAAUCUACCUUUUUGGUUAUGUGUUACUAAUAUUUGGUUGUCCAGAAAUUCAAAACAACGAAGGUUUUUCAAAUUUUUUUACUGUAUUUGGCUGUAUCUAUUGUGGUAUUGGAGUUGGUAUGACUUCUCUUGUAGUACCAGUUUACAUUGCUGAAGUAUCAUCAGCGCGUUUACGUGGAGUCAUGGGCGCCAUAACUAAUCAUACAAUAGUUUUUGGAAUAUUUUCAUAUUCCUUGACUGCAGAAAUAUCUAAUUGGAACGUAAAGUAUUAUUAUUCCGUUUUACUUGGGCUGGUUGUAAUUCUGUUAAGUUUUUUAAUGAUUUUUAUGCCGGAAACGCCGAGAUGGCUUUUAGCCAAUGAUCAACGAGAAAAAGCAUUUAAAAUUCAAUUGUGGCUUCUUGGUGUUAAAUCUGAUGCAGAAGACGAAUGUAACCAAAUUGAAAUAAAUUUAGUUUAUUUUGCUGUUUAACAAAAGCAAUCAACAUACAUAAUACAAGAAAGAAAAAAUACGUCCGUAGAACGAAAAACACAAUAAAACAACAAGCAAGAUAUACGAACGAACUCUAUAGAUCAUUCCAUAUACAUUGGUGACUUAGAUUGAAUAUAUCUUAUUUGAGGAAGCAGGAUAAAACAAAAUUAUCAACAAAAAAUCCAAAGAAUCUUAUAUUGGCUCGUUUUUUAUUUAGUUUAUUAUUAAAGAUAAGGUCAUGCAACUUAAGAGAAAGGUUUUCAUCUUGUGAUUUUUUAUCGAAUAAUAUGUGUUUUUUUUUUUCUCUGAGUUAAGCGACAGUUUAUUAGCCUUGAACCAAUUAUUUUCUUUAUGUAGUUUGGUAUUAAUGUCUGCUUAAAAUUUCUUAAUAAUAAUGUUAAUAAGAAAUAGAUUUGUAACAUCAGCAAACAUGACGAAAUUUAGUUUUAAAGACGCAUUGCAAAAAUCAUUUAUGUAAUGAUAACAGGAGUAGACCAAGGAUAGAUUUUUGGAGAAAUCCACAUAAAAUAUUUAACACUCCAGAUAUAUUAUUAUAUCAUCAAUAGAAAACACUAUCAACGUAUAUUACAUACAUAGGGAUUUCUAUUGGUAAGAUAACUUUUAAUCCAUUUGUAAGUUUUAUUAAUAUUUAUUAGGCUUUAAUAACGGCUAGCUUUUGAAUUUA